GUACAAAUCAAACAUCACUCCUGAACCCUGCUAUGAAAAUGAACUCUAUCAUCUGGUCGAAGUAAAACUCACUGCACAAGACUUCUACUGUGAUUCUGAAGGCAACAGUAUGGUCUUGAUUCAUCUACCUCCGGAACUCAAGCAUUUGUACCGUCAUUGGGACACUGCCAUUCCACAUGUCCCUGUGACCAAGUUGAAAACAAUAUCAUGGAAUGAUCUUGGGC